rnacentral:rRNA from 1 species
AACGAACGCUGGCGGCAUGCCUAACACAUGCAAGUCGAACGAGACCUUCGGGUCUAGUGGCGCACGGGUGCGUAACGCGUGGGAAUCUGCCCUUGGGUUCGGAAUAACAGUUGGAAACGACUGCUAAUACCGGAUGAUGACGUAAGUCCAAAGAUUUAUCGCCCAAGGAUGAGCCCGCGUAGGAUUAGCUAGUUGGUGGGGUAAAGGCUCACCAAGGCGACGAUCCUUAGCUGGUCUGAGAGGAUGAUCAGCCACACUGGGACUGAGACACGGCCCAGACUCCUACGGGAGGCAGCAGUGGGGAAUAUUGGACAAUGGGCGAAAGCCUGAUACAGCAAUGCCGCGUGAGUGAUGAAGGCCUUAGGGUUGUAAAGCUCUUUUACCCGGGAUGAUAAUGACAGUACCGGGAGAAUAAGCUCCGGCUAACUCCGUG